AUGGCUUCAUUUCCAGGGGUCACCUUUCCCGAGUCUCAUGUUGCUGGUCUGCUGGAGGUCUCUGAAUUAACACUCUAUCCGGUGUUGUUUGAAGAAGAUGCAAUGCCUAAGCUUGAGGUGCUACAGUUAGGUAGGUGCAACAUAUUUGGGCACGACGCAGAGGUGAAUGCAUUCUCCCGGUUGUCAGUCCUCACAAGACUCAAGGAAAUUCGGUUGGAUAGUCAUCUCCAAGAAAGUGUGAAGGAAGAGGCGGGGAGGCAGGUAGCGGAGCAUAUGAAGUACCUACCCAACAUUAUUGACUCGUGA
rnacentral:rRNA from 1 species